UACUUUAAAGAGACUCAAACAAAAACUGAAGGACAAGUGCACUUCUACCCAGUAAUUUUUGUAAGCAUAUCAUCAGAAUACAAACUCAGUGACAUGUUGCAUCUAGCUUGUUCUUCAUUAGAUUCAGUGCUUCAAUGAGGUAUGACAAUCCUUAAAAGCACUAUUAACCUAUUUUCUAGGACAUGUUGGUUGAAGCUUCUAAUAUUGAUUUUCAACUAAAGGUAUUUUGUAAAAAAAAAUAAUUUUGUAAACUCUGUAAAUG
rnacentral:misc_RNA from 1 species